GACGAACGCUGGCGGCGCGCCUAACACAUGCAAGUCGAACGAGCGAGAGAGAGCUUGCUUUCUCAAGCGAGUGGCGAACGGGUGAGUAACGCGUGAGGAACCUGCCUCAAAGAGGGGGACAACAGUUGGAAACGACUGCUAAUACCGCAUAAGCCCACAGGUCGGCAUCGACCAGAGGGAAAAGGAGCAAUCCGCUUUGAGAUGGCCUCGCGUCCGAUUAGCUAGUUGGUGAGGUAACGGCCCACCAAGGCAACGAUCGGUAGCCGGACUGAGAGGUUGAACGGCCACAUUGGGACUGAGACACGGCCCAGACUCCUACGGGAGGCAGCAGUGGGGAAUAUUGCACAAUGGGGGAAACCCUGAUGCAGCGACGCCGCGUGGAGGAAGAAGGUCUUCGGAUUGUAAACCCCUGUUGUUGAGGAAGAUAAUGACGGUACUCAACAAGGAAGUGACGGCUAACUACGUG
rnacentral:rRNA from 1 species